AAGCUUGCUAUUAUCUUUUUAACAAUAUCUGCGUGAGUGUUUGGGAGAGAGAGAGGAAGUGGGUUUCAGCUGGCUUCCUGAGUGAUUCCACUAGUUGAUGGGCGGAGCAAGAGAAAGACUGUCAGCUGGGGUGGUGUAGCAGGCAGUGUGUCUAUGUGUGUGGGUGCCAGAGUGUCAGAUCAAGCAGUGUAUAUCUGCUACUAUUUCACACUGCUCUUGUGCCAUUGAAGAUUUUACAUACACAGAGAAGAGUCUGAAGACACAGUGGAGGUGAACUCAAUUUCUGAACAGACCAACACAGCAAGAGGACAACAAGAGUAAAAAAUAAGUGUAUGGAGUUUUUCUGGCUGGGCUGGACUCAUUACCUAGAAUGGGUUACCUACCUAGAAUGAGGUCACUGUGACAGCUGACAGUCUAGCGCCCCCUGCUGUUUACUCUCAGCAGUAGGCCUUUAUGUUUAACCUCGCUGCAGGAGGGCCGGCUGAGAUUAAAAACUCCAAUACAUCACAGACAUUUGAGCUCACAGUCAUGACAGGUGUGUCACAAUGUGCUAUCAAUACCCAUCUGGCAAAGCCUCAUGGAAAAAAAAGAUGUACACUUACACACAUACUCAUCAUUGCUUUUCUAUCAUGGUGGGGACUUUUCAUUUACUUCUGUUGCUUUUAUACUGAGCUAAUGAUGUUUUCUUUUUCCCUAACCCUACCCCUAAAUCUAAAAUUUUUUAAAUUUUCAAAAAGGAUAGUUCAUCCAAAAAUGGAAAUUCUCUCAUCACUUACUCACCCUCAUGCCAUCCCAUUUGUGUAUGACUUUAUUUCUUCUGCUGAACACAAAUUAAGAUUUUUAGAAGAAUAUCUCAGCUCUGUAGGUCCAUACAAUGCAAGUGAGGGUGACCAGAACUUUGAAGCACCAAAAAAGCACAAAGGCAACAUAAAAGUAAUCCAUACAACUCCAGUGGUUAAAUCCAUGUCUUCAGAAGCGAUAUGAUAGAUGUGGGUGAGAAACAGAUCAAUAUCUAAGUCCUUUUUUUUUUUUUUUAACUAUAAAUCUACACUUUCACCAGCCCUCCUAUGUGCAUUCAUGAGAGGACCGAGUUCUUCUUCUUCUGCUUUUUAGUGGUUCGCAAUCUUCAUGCAUAUCGUCACCUACUGGUCAAGGAGGAGAAAGAAAAAAGGAAGGGAUAAAGCAAAGGAAAAGAAUAAAUAAAUUAUAUUUGCACAACAGGUGGCGAUAUGCACAAAGAAUGUGAAUCAGCAAAAAACAGAAGAAUAACUCUCUUGAACGCAUAUACUGUAGGAGGGUUGUUGACAAUAUUUACUAUCUUUAUUAAGCUGUUUUCCUUGUGGAGACAGUUUGUUUCAGGUUUUACUAUCCUUGUGGGAACAUUUAAUAUCCCAAUGUAUUGGCAAACAAGACACUCACAUUUUCACUAUAGCUCACAGUUACCUAGAGACACUUUCCGCCACAUAUCCAGCAAUUACAAUUCUGUAAAUUAGAGACAGUUGGAAAGGAUAUAAGGUACAGUCUCAGGCUCACAUGCUGCAUUUUCACUUUGUAUUUCCUGCU